rnacentral:tRNA from 1 species
GGCUCGUUGUUUUAGGGUAUGAUUCUCGCUUUGGGUGCGAGAGGUCCCGGGUUCAAAUCCUGGACGAGCCC